CGGAAAUGAUCAGGGAGCUGGGACACAUGACUUACGAGCAGGUGGAGAGGAGGGGACCCGGAAGGCUGCAGUGGCAGCAACUGAAGAUAACACACAGAGAGGUACCAUUGUCAGCAUAUUCACUGCAGAAUGAGGAACUGAAGAUGCUGAACUCACUCCCCUUGCUCCCCACAAGUUUUAAGCACGACCUUCUCACUUCUGCUUGGGAUUGCUUGUGCACGGCCCCAGUCACAGCGCCAGCCGUGGCAGAGGUGAUUUUAGUGGAUGUCUCACUCCUGAAUGAAAAGUGAGCACAGCUGCUGCUGGCAUCUCGUGCCUGUAUGCUGCUAGCCUGCGUACUGCAAUGGGACCUGCUGAAGUUAUGGCUGAGUGGUGUGGGAAAGUGUCCUACUGUGAAGAAGAAAUAAGGCAUCCCUCCCUAGAAACCAUGGGCAGAGGAUUGCAGGGUCCCUCCAUGAAAUUUUCAUCAAGAUCUCUCAGGAGGAUUCAAGGGACAUCCCUGUGUGUCCAUAAACAAACUGCUCCACAUAGGCUCCCCUACCUACCUCAAGAGGGGAAUGAAAAGCAGAGAGCAACUCUACCUCUCUUGGUUGUGCCACUGCUGCUUUUAGCACAUGUAAAUUAAUGAAAAGUCAAAAGAUGUGCCCUGAUACUGUGUUGGUUCCAUCCCUGUAACUGAAAGAAUUAGCCACACGCUUACCUGAGGUUACUUUCCCUGCAUCGGGCUUUCCCUUGCUCAAUGAGCAGCCCUGGCUGGACUGCAGUAGAGUCAAAAACAGGUCCUGGCUCACUGUCCAGCUGGAUCCCCUGAUUGCUUGUCCCCCAUAUUCUUCCUCCUCCUCUUCUUUGUCCAUCAUCUUCUCCUCCUCUCUGUUCCCAGCAAGGGGUGGAGGGGGGGACUAUGACUCAGGCUUAUUAGAGGCAGAGGUGCUGACUUUGUGAGGUCCUGGGGGGGUGCUUAACCCCCAACUACAUCCCAAGCCCUACCCCCACU